GCCCGGAUGGUCUAGUCGUAUGAUUAUCCUUGUUAGGGUAUGUUGCCCAAUUAAUCACCUGAUUCGAAGGGAGGGUCCCGCGUUCAAUUCGCGGUUCGGGCC